UACAGAGGGUGCGAGCGUUGUCCGGAAUCACUGGGCGUAAAGGGCGCGUAGGCGGCCUGAUAAGUAGGGGGUGAAAUCCUGGAGCUCAACUCCAGAACUGCCUUUGAUACUGGCGAUCUUGAGUCCGGGAGAGGUGAGUGGAACUGCGAGUGUAGAGGUGAAAUUCGUAGAUAUUCGCAAGAACACCAGUGGCGAAGGCGGCUCACUGGCCCGGUACUGACGCUGAGGUGCGAAAGCGUGGGGAGCAAACAGG
rnacentral:rRNA from 1 species